rnacentral:rRNA from 1 species
AAAAGCUUGCUUUCUUUUGCUGGCGACCGGCGCACGGGUGAGUAACACGUAUCCAACCUGCCCUUUACUCGGGGAUAGCCUUUCGAAAGAAAGAUUAAUACCCGAUAGCAUAAUGAUUCCGCAUGGUUUCAUUAUUAAAGGAUUCCGGUAAAGGAUGGGGAUGCGUUCCAUUAGGUUGUUGGCGGGGUAACGGCCCACCAAGCCUUCGAUGGAUAGGGGUUCUGAGAGGAAGGUCCCCCACAUUGGAACUGAGACACGGUCCAAACUCCUACGGGAGGCAGCAUG